AAGGAAUGAUGUUCAAGAAAAAGCUGCUAACUUUUUUCUUAAGCGGUUUAAAUCCGUUUAUUCCUUU
rnacentral:tRNA from 1 species